CAGAGUGAGACUCCAUCUCAAACAAACAAACAAAAAUAAUGUUUUGUAGAGGUGGGAGUCUCACUAUGUCACUCAGGCUGGUCUCAAACUCCGGGGCUAAAGCCAUUCUCCGGCCUGGGCCUCCCAAAGUACUGAGAUAACAUGCGAGCCACUGGGCCAGGCCCUAAACAAAUGUUUGCAGCUAGAAGAGCUCUCACCUUACAUGAAUGAAGAAAUCAAUGCCCAGAAGGGUGAAUGCUGUUCACCGAUUCCCUGACUCAUCCAGAAAACAGUUCUUGAGUGCGUACUGUGUGCCAGCCCCCCUGAUCCAUUUUCACUUUCAACAGACACGGAGGAUGAGGCCAGCUACCAAGGCCACAUGGCAAGACAGAAGGGUUCUUCCCACCCCACUGCUUCGUCGGAGACCUGAGCUUGUUUUCUUCUCCUGGCUCUGGCGGGGAAUUGGACUGUGCCCAGUGCAUGUAAAGUUGACCAACAGAUUUCUCACACAUGCUCACUAAUACUACCUGGCACUAAGCCCUCUGCACAUCCUUUGCUCCUUCAAAGGACACAGUCAGUGUUCACACCACCCCGUGCCUGACACAUCGGAGUAAAUACAGAAGGAAGGGAAGGAAGGCCAGCAGGCAUGGGGAGUACACACAGUUCUGCAUUUUGUUGAAACAAGACCUAAAGACUGCAGGUGCAGGUGGAAAAAUUUCACAUCUCAUAAUAGACGCCACGAGGGCAAUCACAUCUAUCAAAGGCGGGGAGAAGAACCGAGUGAGACUGACACUGUGAUUGAUGGAGAAGCAGCAGUCACUCAUACGAGCUAGGAAAUGGGGCUGUUGGUGAUUUUUGUGGUUGGGACAAUGUUCAUGUCUUUACCUGCCUUCAGGGGUAGUGUUAUUUUGUCUUGAUCUAUCGCGGUCUCAGGACGGCCUUGUCUGAUGCCGGCAAUCUGCAAAAUUGUUGACGUUCAACAGGAGAACACUGGCCAAGCUGUGUGUCAAGCCAGCUCCUGGCUGCCAUGGGCUGCUUUUCUCUUUCUCAUAAUGUAGGAAGUAACUUAUAAACUUCCUGUCUGCCCACAAGUAAUUAUGAGAUCUGCGUCUAUAGGCACCAGUCCCACCCAUUUCAGUCUUCCCUGCGGGGCUCACCAUGAUGCCUUGUGUACAGAAUGUGCUCUGGGAAUGUGCGCGGUGAACUAAAUUAUGGGCGCAGAGCACUCUCUGGGACUUGGCGUUAUGAUCAUGCUGAAGUAUGUUUUCGGAAUUUAAAACGUGACUCAUACAAAUGACAAAUGAAUGCUUGUCAAAAAAUUUAUUAACCCAUUAAUGAGGGAACCAGUAAUAUGAUAAAGCUUACUCCAAGGGCAUUAAAAAAGUGGAUUCGGCUGGGCGUGGUGGCUCACACCUGUAAUCCCAGCACAUUGGAAGGCUAAAGGAAUGCGGAUCAUGAGGUCAGCAGAUUGAGACCAACCUGGCUAACACAGUGAAACCCCAUCUCUACUAAAAAUACAAAAAAUUAGCUGGGUGGCAUGUGCCUGUAGUCCCAGCUACUCAAGAGAUUGGGGCAGGGGAAUUACUUGAACCCGGGAGGUGGAGGUUGCAGAGAGCUGAGAUCGCACACUCCAGCCUGGGCAAUAGAGGGAGAUUCCAUGUUGAACAAUGAGAACACAUAGACUCAGGGAGAAGAGCAUCACACACUGGGGUCAG